AGGGAUGUAGUUAAUUAUAAUACUUGAUUUGCAUUCAAGAGGUGCUUGGUAAGCCUUCCUUA
rfam:Daphnia magna strain Xinb3 scaffold01847, whole genome shotgun sequence.